GCCGGGGUAGCUCAGUGGUAGAGCGCAAGCCUGAAGAGCUUGGCGUCGGUGGUUCAAUUCCGCCCCCCGGCACCA
rnacentral:tRNA from 1 species